rnacentral:rRNA from 1 species
GAUGAACGCUGGCGGCGUGCCUAAUACAUGCAAGUCGAGCGAACGGACGAGAAGCUUGCUUUUCUGAUGUUAGCGACGGACGGGUGAGUAACACGUGGAUAACCUACCUAUAAGACUGGGAUAACUUCGGGAAACCGGAGCUAAUACCGGAUAAUAUUUUGAACCGCAUGGUUCAAAAGUGAAAGACGGUCUUGCUGUCACUUAUAGAUGGAUCCGCGCUGCAUUAGCUAGUUGGUAAGGUAACGGCUUACCAAGGCAACGAUGCAUAGCCGACCUGAGAGGGGGAACGGCCAAAAUGGAACUGAGACACGGUCCAGACUCCUACGGGGGGCAGCAGUAGGGAAUUUUCCGAAAGGGGCGAAAGCCUAACGGGGCAACGCCGGGUGAGUGAUGAAGGUCUUCGGAUCGUAAAACUCUGUUAUUAGGGAAGAACAUAUGGGUAAGUAACUGUGCACAUCUUGACGGUACCUAAGCAAAAAGCCACGGCUAAAUACGU